CGCAGACCCGCCCGGACAACACCGGUUGCCCACCCACCCGGCGGCUACGGCCCGGAAACGGCUGCGGCGGGAGCGCGGGGGACGGCGGCAAAGGGACUAGUGGCGGCUGAGAGAAAAACUUGCCCUUAGCAGCAGCAGUAUGUCGCCAUCUCUGCAGUCAGGGGCCGUGUUAUCAUUCCUGUGCAUGGCGAGGAACCCCCAGGCAUCGGCGUCAGCGCUGCGCAUCAGUUACCGUCUGCUGGAAGGAUAAUGAGCCAUAACGUGAUCCUCUGUGCUUAAGCAUAAAUAGUUCACGCUGCCUCAGAGCUUCUAAGCGGAGAAAACAGAGCACUAACACAGGCACGCGACGUGUGACCAGGAUGUGUGACCACGCUGCCGGCGGAGGCUCCCUGGGAGCACACGGGUGAGGUCGGAGAUAGGGGUCUGGGCUCACUGCAUGUCCUGCCACCAGCCUACGGCGUGUCCUGGCAGAACGUGCGCCUCCAGCCUCUCGCAGGUGCACAAACCCCCCUGAGCAUUCGAGGCAUCACGUCCUCGGGACACCAUUCCCAUGUCCCAUGGGAAUAAUUGCGUGUGCCUGUUCCAUAAGGGCAUUGCAAGGCCAGACCCCACAGGAGCAGAGAGCACUCUGGUAGUGUAGCGGUGAGGUCUGUAGGAGUCUGCUUCGUCUCUGAAUUCAUCCUUUUUAUCUCCAGACGAACCAAGAACACCCAAAAUCUUGAGACUGAAAAUGCUCGUCAUGCUCCUGCCACCCUUCUCAGAAGUUAUCCUACUGCAUCGAGUAGCACAUUAAAAUUGGUGCUUCGUGGCAGAAUUCCUGCCCACAGCUACGGCCGUGCAAAUAGGCUCCGGGCAAGGUGUCGGCACCAGCUUAAUCACAAGCUGUAAGGAGAAGUCAGAGGGGGAACAAGAGCCUCCUGUCCCUGUCCCAUCAGGAUUCCUUGCCAUCAGGCAUGGCGCAUCACGGGACGUGCCUAGCAUCUGUCCUGUGCCAUGUGUUACUGUGCUGCCUCUAUUUCUUGCUAGUUGUGUUGAAGGUAUGACAGUCAUUUUCCUGACAGCCCGCAAGAAGAAAAGAUACUCCAAUCUUCCGGCUGUAUGUAUAUAUAGGUACCUGCUGUAGCACCAUCCAUAUGCAGUACGCACCAUAUGCUAACUGUGAAAGCGUUUAACCUGGUCCAGCGCAUGUGUUUGCUGUUAUACAUAACAAAUACCUCAAGCCUUGCCAUGAUUCAGUGCAUUAUGCGUGGGAGCCAUCUGGUCCCGUAGCUUAAGCAGCAAACUGAAAAUCUGAUAAAAGCACAAACAGUCACAAUGAGAGAGACGGAAAAGAUGUGUUGAUAUUCCAAGCAGGAGUCUCCUUCCGUGGGGGCUAAUCUCAUCACCCAUUGCCUCUUUCCUGCUCCUUUCCCUGGAAAGCUGCUGUCGGACAGGUUGCACUCUCAGCUCCAGGAGUACACACACCUUUGGGAUGCUAAAAAUGAAUUCCGUGUGCUUGAGCAAACCUUCUGGGACGAGAUUUUUCUCAGUAGCCAGCUGUGCAGUGAGCAAGAUGUGCAAGGUGUUUGCGGCACAGCACAUGUUAUGGAGCUUGGAUUGAUCAAGAAGCCUCCAUAUGGUUUAAAAUGCACUCUCGAUUGUGAUUAGUCAUUAAUAUUGUCUCACCACUGUGCAGAAUUACGGCUUAUGGCUUUGACAGACUGAAAGGGGGUCCACCUCAGCUUGCCUGGGUGUUCUCUGCCCUGGAGUAGAGAUGUAUUUCGGAGGGACUGGAGCACCAGGGGAGCAACAAUGAACGGGACGGGGUAGACAGGGUAGAGUUUGGGAUGGCUUGGAGUUGGCCAAGAGUUUGUGUAUAACUCGGCCAGGAUACUGGGUUACUAAAACUGGCUUAAUUAGAUUUUGGAGACGGACCGUGUUUCCCCCAUUCUGACCCUGGUUUCUGUUGUUUGGAGGGCACAGGGAAGGAAGGCAGACAGAAGAUGCCUAUUUUAGUAAGCCUCUGCAGGGAACACACACGCAGCAGACAGGUACACAUUUGUUUCCUCUGACACCAAAUUAAUGGGAAUUGAUGUAUUGAUUCUGCAGCUCUGCUAAAGAUUGCUUCAGGUUUUGGCCUGUUUCCAGCUGGUUAGAUGCAAUGUGCGCACGGUUCAAGGCAGAUAUUUAAUUAUUCUAAUAUGAAUACAGUUUAAAAAAUUCAGUUCCCUGUGAAAUCCAGAAGAUAAUAGCAUUAUGAUCGUGGAAAUAAUACAGUUAUUCCUACUUUAAAUAGCCUAUUUUCAUGCCCAGCUACUCCUUUUGGCUUAAUACAGCCAAGCCCCUCCAAAGUCACAGAAUUAUUAAGAUAUUUGCCACUAGAACAAAUUCAUUCUGUAUUUUUCUUUUUUUGUUUUUCUUACCUGUUUGGGAGCACACUGUUCAGAGCAAAUGCAAUCUGCACUUCUGUGUUUGUAGAGAGUAUUGAGGACUAUGGUAGGGCUCUACUAAAAUGAAUAUAUUAACGCCAUCACUAUUAUUAUUGCUGUUAAUAACAGUAAUAUUAAAAAAUAAUAACCUGAGUCAGGCAUUUGCCAGUCCCAAGGGUUAAAAUUGACUGUCUUUGUGGAUAUUCCCAUGUUUAACUAAUUAAAUACUGCCGAAGUAUCCACCUCAUAUACUUUAUUUGUAGACUAUAGGAACAUCUCUGUGCCACAUUAGCUCCUGGUCCUGCACAGAGAAAGCAUCUUGCAUUAGGGAUGGAGUACGAGUCUUGUAUUUUCUUACUUUGAUCACCGUGUCUCUGCUUUUAUGAUCUCACCAGGAAAGUUACUUGAUGUUUUGUUAUUUUGAGCGUCAGCAAGGCUCCUGCAAAUGUUUGAAGUCAUCUUUGUAUUUAAUUUAUUUUCUGGCAAAACAACAUCCAUCUGCAGUUUAAGAAUAGAACAUAUAAAAAACUGCAUAUGACUCUGAAGCACAGAACAUAGAAUUUCUGGGCAAAAUGCUCUUCUCAGUUACACUUAUAUAACUCUGGAGUAGUGUCUUCAUCUUUCUCGUUGUUACCCCGAAACCCAUUUUCAUUUCAUUGUGUCAAACCCAAAGGAUCUACCAUAUACGGCCAAAUCCGAUUUCAUCACAACUGUUGUAAUUAUUUCCUAGGUGAACUUACAAUCUGCGAGGAAGUACGUAAAGAAGCAUUUACAGUAUAUGGGCCUCAAUACUCUAAGAAAUAUGCUGCUGUCGCUUGCUCUCCAUUAGGAUUUUUCCAUGCAAAUAAAAAUAUGGUGUAGGCGGAGAACUGCUGAACUGUCUGGAGCAGAGAUUUCCUCCAUAUGCAAAAGUAGAGAAUCUACACUGUAUGGCUGAGCUCGUUUUUAAAACAUCAUGUUCAACAGCUCUUUCUUUAAACAAAGGAAGAGUUUGCUUUAAAUUGUUUGAUAUUUAUUUUGUGUAACUCUGUUCCUUGGCUGUCCAUGCUACAGAAAUGCCGUUAUGCUACAAGAAGACAGAUUGCCUGGACUGGAACCCCAGCCCUGAUUCAGGGAAGCACAUGGUUUCCUCACAAUGAUUAUGAUGGUUAUAAUUACUAUUCAGUAUAUGGUGCAAUUGUUUUUGGUGUUUAAAACAGAACAAAACAAAACAAAACAAAGCUGUUUUGGAAAGGAAAACACAGCAUUAGAAAAAAAAUAAUUGUAAAAUAGGAAGUGGUUGACCUUCAGGAGAUAACUCCAUCCGCUGUGUCUGCUAUCCAGUGUUUCUAGUGAUCAGAAAAUGGAAAGAAAGGAUCCCAUUAAAUAUCCCAAUACUGCUUUAGAAAAUAAUGCACCUUCUUUUCUGUAGGUAUAACAUUUUAUACCUCCUGUUGAACAGCUGCUAGUGUCAAAGGCCGAGCAAGCAGUACGUGGAAUGCAGAGCCUGAAGUUUUUCAGCGGUCGCUGAAGGCAAAACCAUCUAAAGCUGUAGCAGAUGUUCGCUUGCUUCCUGUCUGCUUAUCAGCCCCGCAAAGACACUUCAUUUUUGUACUUGUUAUGCCAAGUGUAACUAUGGAGAUCUAAUACAAGCUGCGCAAUAGCGAUACGGUGAAUAGUUCUUUUACGUAUUUGGUUAUGAAUGAUCAAGCAAAAUAUUAUGGUUUCUAAGAACUCUCUCAAAUUUUUCCAUAUGUACAUUAGUCAUUCCCCUUGCACGGCAAGAAAAUGACAGUGUACAAAAUAAUUUAAUAAAUACUGCAUUACUGCAGCUCUAUAAAGAUGAAUUUAUACAUCAUUAAGAAAUUGUUGCUCCUUGGACCUUCCAUAGGAUCCUUUCCAGUCUGACCUGCCCUUUCAGGGGCAGUUGUCAGAGAGGAGUCCAUGCAAUGCGUUUAUGUUACAGCAACUGAACAACAGUUACCUGCUGUGCUGGAUGUUAGUUGUAGGUCUUAGGUUAAAAAAACAAACAAAAAAAAAAAGUGAAUUAGCACCUGCUGGGUUACAUUUCUGUGGUGAAAUUCUUCACUGACUUCCGUUCACAUCCCUUUGUACAAUGGGCAGAGGGAAGAUGUUAGUUUGGCCUCAGUGUGUUCACAUUUUAUAUGUUGUGUCUAAUACAUCACAAAAUAAGGAGUGGUAUAUCCCAACCGACUGUAUUCCUCCGAGGCCUUGAAUAUGCUACAGAAGAGAGUUCUUAACUGCCAAUUUAAAAAUCAGUUACGCUGAAGACUUUUUGCUGAGUAAUCUAGGUGCAUCUCAGCUGUUUUAAUUCCGGUUUAUAUUCAUUACGAGCUCCUGUAAAUUAUAACUUUAAUAUGAAUAACUACAUGCAAGUGUUAAAAUGGUAUUCUGUCUAUUUUAGGGCUUUGAGCUGGUUUAAUGAGACUGAUUUUUACACUGAUGCACUUAAAUUGAUAUGCAUUCCCAGUACAGGCAAGACCCAGGGCAAUUAAGUUUAUCGCUUAAUAGACAGGAGUUCUUUUUCCUCCGUGAAUUAGAAGAAAUAAAGGAAAUUACAUAAAUCCUAGCACAGAUGGUUUUGCUUUAAGUUUUUAACAGUACAGAAAAGGAUGGGUUUGGAAUGGUUCCUCUGCCCAUCCUGAAACUGGAAACCAAAAGUGAGAGCUUUGGCCUAUCACUGGUAGGCAUGUUAGAGAUAUUCCCGUGGGAAACAAAAGGUUUCAGAGCAACAGUGGCUCUGCUGGUCUUUGACAUAUUUCAUAUAACGCUAUCAAGGAAAAAGAGUGGUAGGUCACCAUCAUUGCCACUUUUAAAAAGCUGGUAGCAUUGCAAAUCUGUGUUGACCUAGAAAAGGCAAAUAGUGGGCACAGUGGUCCCUUGAGUAGUCCUUCUGCGGGUGAUAAUCUGUUGUAUUACAGCACUUCCUCGAAGGAAAUGAAGCACUUCGGGACAACUGGUUCCAGGGGAAGUAGGUAUGGAUAUUCCUUUGAGAAAAUGAGCUUCCAAAAUGAAAUGCUGUAGACCUAAAAUUCAAUCAUGUUCCUUUCUCCAAAGGCAAGCAAUGACAAGGCAACGCAUGAAGCAAAAGCGAAAUGUUGUUGAAAAUGAAGAUAUGAGGGACUUUAUGCAAAAGACAGAUUUGCAGGGAAAAGAUGGAUCUGAUGAAUGCAGUGACGGAAAUUGCCUGAAGCAUCUGCAAAAACACCACAAGAAAUAAAAAGCUGAAGGAGGAAAAGGGGAAAAAAGAGGACCCAGGGGUUAAACUUGUAUGAGUUGCGAAUGUGGAGCUCCAGGUUGUGGACCAGUUGCUAAGGAAGCGUUCAUCUCUAAACUCCCAUGCCGAAGUGGCAGUGCUAUUACGGCAAAGGAAUACGAAUGUAAGUUUGAGUUCUGACUGCACGAGGUGUCUGUUAAAGGCUCCUUCGGGUACGCCGGACCAAAUCCUCAGAUUGCUCAGGAAAGGGUAAAAGCUUGGUCUGACCUAUAUUCACGGUGACUCACUGGUGAGAUUUAAUGUUGUUCCUUUGUUUUGCCUCUGUUUCUCAGCAGUUGCUCGCAUUUUAAACAAGUACACUCCUACCUAACCGAAUCGAUAGAUGAGUAUAAUUAGGACCCAAUAUAAUAAGGCCAGUAGGUGUAAUAAUACAAGGGAACAUUCCACAGCAGUUACAGAAGAAAAGAAUUUCAGAUAAUUAGGAAAGGAGUUGGGCAGUGGUACAGAUUUAGAAGUACCCAAGAUAAAAUAACAGAUACUAAAAAUAUCUAUAUUGCGAUGAAAUCCUCGUGGCUCAGUACUUGAGCCAACCUCCAUUCUUUAGGAAUUAGGAAGAAAAUCGCCCAAACAGGGUAGACUGUGGUGUAUCGCCUUACCCUGGUGGGCUUACACUCACACUUCAAAGAAUUAUCUCACACUGAAAAAGGACAGACACGGGUUUCACUUAACAGGGAAACUGCAAUGGUUUUUUGAAUAUGUUCUGUAGGUGUAGCUCUUAAAAAAUCGGUGGUUUUAUUUCUAUGUAGAAAAAAAUCUGACAAUGAACACUCUGGAUCUUGAAUAGCAAAAGCACUGACAGCAGGGCCCGAGAUGCAUUCUUUUAGUCAACCGGGACAUAUUUUUAAAUACCUGUGACUCUCGAGCUAACAACUGAGGAGUGAUGACUCUAGCUUGCAAACAGAAACACUGAAGUGCCCUUUUUUCCUUCUUUUUCUUUUCUGUGUAACGUGUUUUCUGAGUAGAUGCCAAAUUUUGAAAGCAUUGAAGUACCGUAAGUAUUGCAAGUAUUUUGAAAGAAAGGAGUAUUUUGAAAAGUAUUUUGAAAUGCUGUAGAGUUUCAGAAAAGCAGAAAAGCCGCGUUAUGAGAACAUCAACUAUAAUCUGGGUCAGAUUUUCAGGGCAGAUGUUUCAGAGGCAUCCUCUUGGAAACCCUCCAUGACAGUUAGUGAGAAGAGUGACCCAAUGUUUUCUCACCGUCCAAAAUAACUGUUCUGUUGGGUGAUGUCAUGUGGAUGAGGCACUGCCUGUAUUUCCAAAGCGAUGUCAUGUUUAAGCUUGUUCAGGAGCAGAGAUUUUUUUCCCAGAACAGUUUCAAACAGGGAGUCUAGCAAACCUCUUUGGUAAAUCUUGACUGAUCGCAAUCUGGCUUGUCAGUUUUCUGAAUUUUAAUGAUCUGGGUUUUUUUGCCAGAUAAUGACUAUUUAUGUAAAUGAGAUGCCUUAUAAAUAAAUCUGGAAAUUAUUCCAUAAUAUUAAUUACAGGCUUUAUGGUUCAAAUACUUAAAAUAUUAAAGGCGCAUGGUGAUGUAGAUUGCCUUUGGGUUUAUUCAUUUAGUUAUUUUGGUAGUUUGUUUUAUUUUAACCUGACUUAUACAUGUUGGACAGUGUUUGCUGAACUAAAGCAAGCUAUGUUAUGUGCCCGGAUAUAUCAAAGGAUGUUGAAGGACAAUAAAAAUCAAAAUGCAUCAUACAGUGGUAGUAGUAAAUGGAACCCCAGAUUUCUGAAUGUUUUUGUCUAAGAAUCAAAUGAAUUAGUUUUACUUGGAGAAUCUUACCUUAAGUGUUGUUAGCCAUUUACUCAAAAAUUAGGUAGUUUUAAAUUAAUUAUAAUCCUUUGUACUUACAUAUCUGCUUAUGAAUCUCAAUAGUGUUCUACAAAUAUUAAUUAAGCCUAAUAGUACUCCUGAGAAGUGGUUAACUGAUAGAUAUACUUCACUUAACCCAUCAUGAUAAAAGUCAUAUCUAGAACAAAACUCAAAAACUUUAAACACCAGGACUACACAAGAGUUUAGAGCCUGAAGUAUCUUCACCAGACAAAACUGUGGGGAACGUUUAGGAAUGUGGAAUGCAAUUAAUUGGCCUAGGCAUGAUUUGGAAGUAAAUAAAAAUUCAAAUAAUAAGGAGCUGAGAUCUCUAGUGAAGGAAAGCGGUUUUAUGUCUGAGGUGAGAGAAGAUACCCACAGCAUCACAGUAUGACGUGGCGUGACUCUGGAUGAUGAACGAGACUGAUUCAGAGAACAGACUCCUAUUUGCAGAAAUCGCCUCCAGAUGGGCCAAAGAGCGUGAGUCCAAAUCGAACCUUUAAGGCUGCUGCAUGAACAGUUACAGCAGUUAAGUCCUUUCUCUCACUCCUGAGGGUACAGGAGCUGCUGAAAAUAGCAGCAAAGCAGCAGUAUCAGUGUGUACAUCCACCACACGCAUCAGUCUGUACAACAGCCCGAGACUGUUAUUUUUGCUGGCGAAUCUGCAUGCAUAAUUUCCUUCCUGAUAUUACUCCACAAAGAGAAGCUUUUGUUUUCUUGCUUUACUGACGAGAGCAAUACUUAAAACGGGUUAGUGCUGGAACAAACAACAGGUUAGGUUUGGUACAUGCAUUAGCACUUGGACCAUCCUCAAGCAACCCUUCUGCUGUCCCAUUCCCCAAAAAUCUGCUGCAAAUAUUUGCUUCAGAGCUUCCAGUGUCUACAGGAAGAGCCAUUCUAGAAAUAUGCUCCAGCUGUACAUACUUAUUUGCCUACUAACAACAGGAGAAGAGGUACGGCAUCACUGGCUUGAUACCCCUUCCCACAGCGAUGCGGUGUUGAGUGUUUUUUCACCAAUUAAUGCCAAUGGCCAACCAGUGGGUCUCCUAUCGUUCGAUAUUUGGUAGUUGCUGCAAUGCCUUGGGAAUAGUUUCACCAUUUGCUGAGGGAAACUUUACGAUGCACAGUCUAAAUUCUCCGAUGCACACUCUGAAAUCCUGAGGAAGCAAUUCAGCACUGAAAAGUGAAAUGAUAAUGAGUUUGCAUCAGAUUUUUAUUUAUAGAAAUGACUUGGAAACAUCUGGGUUUGGUCUUUGGAUACAUUUUCUUUCCUUUUUGUUUCCCGGCAUUUCUGUGCUUUUGGGACUACAAACUCUCACAAAAAUAUUGGCAAUAAAUCCUUGCUGAGAAAGUCUACCUGCUGGAGAAAAAUCUGCUCAUUUUAUCCAGGUGGAAUGCCUAGACACCGCAA